UGCGUGUGAACUCUGACCUGGAAGACUUUGGGCGCGCUCACUAGAGACGCGAGAGCUGAGGAGAGCGUGGCCGAAAACGUUCCUGCCGUGAUCAGAGGUCCAAACCCAGACACUAGGGUCAUCACCUGCACAUAAACCAGUGCUGAGGAAGCAGUGAUAAAACACAUUCACCAUCAUUUUCAUGAGUUUCGGUCAUGCACAGUAUGUCAGGUCACCUGGAAGUUGUUCAUGAGGCCGUAGUUGCAUUUGGUGGUUUGGCAGAUGGAGAAGUCGUAGCCCAGAUCACAGGCCGAGGAGAAGUUGCAGCUCAAACCCGGUUGAAUCGUGUCGUUCCGGUUCCCUGUCGCGUCUCGAACGACCGUCACAG